AUCUCUGUCUCGUCAGUUAUAUUUCCAAUGGCCCCGUUCCUCCGUAUUUACUGUCUCACUCACACACACGACAGAUGCUCUAUUCAUGUGCUCGGUUAUCGAAUUGACAACGAGCCAACUGGACCAGGGUUACAUGGAGCCGCGGAAAUGGACAGGAUUGCUCUGCAUCCGCCUGUAAAUCCCUCUCUCCUCUCGUCCUACAAUGGUACAUUUGAUGUAGGGACAAUGGAUAAUAGCCACUACACGAUGGUACUCCCAGCACCAGUGGGUCGACUCUCCGAGAUGAGAUAAUCCAACAGGACUGGUUAUACCUAUGUGUUAAUGCAUAUGUACAUGCUGGGGACUUUGACUGUGGCAUUCACAGUUUCCCUUUCAACCCAUUUAUUGUUGUAAUUCUGACGUACAUUUGGAGGCACCAAUGAUGCCACAAAAUUGUUGCUCGAAUUCCACUUCACAGAGCAUUAAAACCACUGAAUUCAAUUA